AUACUUACCUGGCAAGGGAGAUACCAUGAUCGUGAAGGUGGUUCUUCCAGGGUAAGGCUCAGCCAUUGCACUAAAAUAUGUCUAGAAUUUGUCCCUUUAUUCCAGUUUUAGUAUAUGUGCUGCCGAAGCGAGCACUUGUCCCUUUAU
rnacentral:snRNA from 1 species